GAUGAACGCUAGCGAUAGGCUUAACACAUGCAAGUCGAGGGGCAUCGAGGGUAGCAAUACCUGUCGGCGACCGGCGCACGGGUGAGUAACGCGUAUGUAACCUGCCCGCAACAGAGGGAUAACCCGGCGAAAGUCGGACUAAUACCUCAUAAAACAGGGGUUCCGCAUGGGACUAUUUGUUAAAGAUUUAUUGGUUGCGGAUGGGCAUGCGUACCAUUAGGUAGUUGGUGAGGUAACGGCUCACCAAGCCAUCGAUGGUUAGGGGUUCUGAGAGGAAGGUCCCCCACACUGGUACUGAGACACGGACCAGACUCCUACGGGAGGCAGCAGUGAGGAAUAUUGGUCAAUGGGCGAGAGCCUGAACCAGCCAAGUCGCGUGAAGGAUGACUGCCCUAUGGGGUGUAAACUUCUUUUAACAGGGGAAUAAAAAUGAGAUAAC
rnacentral:rRNA from 1 species